AGUGAACGCUGGCGGUAGGCCUAACACAUGCAAGUCGAACGGCAGCACAGGGGAGCUUGCUCUCUGGGUGGCGAGUGGCGGACGGGUGAGGAAUACAUAGGAAUCUGCCCAGUCGUGGGGGAUAACGUAGGGAAACUUACGCUACUACCGCAUACGACCUUCGGGUGAAAGAGGGGGAUCGCAAGACCUCUCGCGAGUGGAUGAGCCGAGGUCGGCUUCGCUAGUUGGCGGGGUAAUGGCCCACAAGGGCGACGAGCCGUAGCUGGUCUGAGAGGAUGAUCAGCCACACUGGAACUGAGACACGGUCCAGACUCCUACGGGAGGCAGCAGUGGGGAAUAUUGGACAAUGGGCGCAAGCCUGAUCCAGCCAUACCGCGUGGGUGAAGGAGGCCUUCGGGUUGUAAAGCCCUUUUGUUGGGAAAGAAAUCUUUCAGGCUAAUACCCUGGGAGGAUGACGGUACCCAAAGAAUAAGCACCGGCUAACUUCGUG
rnacentral:rRNA from 1 species